rnacentral:rRNA from 1 species
UACGUAGGGGGCAAGCGUUAUCCGGAUUUACUGGGUGUAAAGGGAGCGUAGACGGCAGAGCAAGUCUGAAGUGAAAGCCCGCGGCCCAACUGCGGGACUGCUUUGGAAACUGCCCGGCUAGAGUGCUGGAGAGGUAAGCGGAAUUCCUAGUGUAGCGGUGAAAUGCGUAGAUAUUAGGAGGAACACCCGUGGCGAAGGCGGCUUACUGGACAGUAACUGACGUUGAGGCUCGAAAGCGUGGGGAGCAAACAGG